rnacentral:lncRNA from 1 species
UCUUUGGCAGAGUUGACCUGGAAAGAAGGUCAAUGAGCCCCAGACGACAAUGCAGUGACAUUCUUCCUUUUGCCCUUGGCAAAUGGCUGACAGUCGCUGGAGAUCUGCUCAGGCAUUAUCUGGAACUCUCUGAGCAGGGAAAGUUGAGUAAAUCCACAUAACCCUGAGGAGUGAAGUUAGGAUCCACUGCUCAGAAGCACAGAAUCACAGAAUCACAGAUUGUCAGAGAUGCGUCAGCUCAGAGAACAUCUAAGUGUCACAUCUUCAUGCUAAAUACAAGAAAACUGAGGUCUGGAGAAACUGAGUUUUUUGCCUAAAAUGACAAAGCAAAUCAGUGGCAGAGCUGAAACCCAAAGCCAAGAUUACUAACUCCUAGUCCAGUUUGCUUCCCAAGAAAUCUUGGAUCUGCAGGCAUCUCUGGGCAUCAUCUGGACCACUCUGUGACCUCAAAUUGGGCUAAGGGUUUUCUAUUCUCUGAUUAGAUAACUUCAAAGACUAGGAUAUAAAACAUUUCCUUGAUGGGCAGUUUGUUUUAAAUAGCUUUCUUUAUUGGAAUAUAAAUGACCUAUGGAAACUGAACAUCUUUAAUUGCACUAUUUGAAGACAUUUGGAAUAUUCAAUUCUUUAUACAUUGAAACCCGUCAAUCUUUUCCUCAGUGAUUUGUUCUCCCACUGUGAGUUCAGAAAGUC